rnacentral:rRNA from 1 species
UACGUAGGGCGCAAGCGUUGUCCGGAAUUAUUGGGCGUAAAGAGCUCGUAGGCGGCCUGUUGCGUCCGCUGUGAAAUCCCGGGGCUCAACCCCGGGCCUGCAGUGGAUACGGGCUGGCGUAGAGGCAGGCAGGGGAGAACGGGAAUUCCUGGUGUAGCGGUGGAAAUGACGCAGAUAUCAGGAGGAACACCGGUGGCGAAGGCGGUUCUCUGGGCCUGUACUGACGCUGGAGGAGCGAAAGCGUGGGGAGCAAACAGG